rnacentral:rRNA from 1 species
CCCGUGUUUACUGUACCUUAGUUGCUUCGGCGGGCCCGCCAUUCAUGGCCGCCGGGGGCUCUCAGCCCCGGGCCCGCGCCCGCCGGAGACACCACGAACUCUGUCUGAUCUAGUGAAGUCUGAGUUGAUUGUAUCGCAAUCAGUUAAAACUUUCAACAAUGGAUCUCUUGGUUCCGGCAUCGAUGAAGAACGCAGCGAAAUGCGAUAACUAGUGUGAAUUGCAGAAUUCCGUGAAUCAUCGAGUCUUUGAACGCACAUUGCGCCCCCUGGUAUUCCGGGGGGCAUGCCUGUCCGAGCGUCAUUGCUGCCCAUCAAGCACGGCUUGUGUGUUGGGUCGUCGUCCCCUCUCCGGGGGGGACGGGCCCCAAAGGCAGCGGCGGCACCGCGUCCGAUCCUCGAGCGUAUGGGGCUUUGUCACCCGCUCUGUAGGCCCGGCCGGCGC